AGAGCGAACGCUGGCGGCAGGCCUAACACAUGCAAGUCGAGCGCCCGUAGCAAUACGGGAGCGGCAGACGGGAUAGUAACACGUGGGAACGCGCCCUUCGGCUCGGAAUAACUCAGGGAAACUUGAGCUAAUACCGGAUACGCCCUUACGGGGAAAGAUUUAUUGCCGAAGGAACGGCCCGCGUCCGAUUAGCUAGUUGGUGAGGUAAUGGCUCACCAAGGCGACGAUCGGUAGCUGGUCUGAGAGGAUGACCAGCAUCACUGGGACUGAGACACGGCCCAGACUCCUACGGGAGGCAGCAGUGGGGAAUAUUGGACAAUGGGCGCAAGCCUGAUCCAGCCAUGCCGCGUGGAUGAUGAAGGCCUUAGGGUUGUAAAGUCCUUUAACGGGGAAGAUAAUGACGGUACCCGUAGAAUAAGCCCCGGCUAACUUCGUGCCAGCAGCCGC
rnacentral:rRNA from 1 species